rnacentral:rRNA from 1 species
AACCUCCGCAAUGUGAGAAAUCGCGACGGGGGGAUCCCAAGUGCCAUUCUUAACGGGAUGGCUUUUCAUUAGUGUAAAGAGCUUUUGGAAUAAGAGCUGGGCAAGACCGGUGCCAGCCGCCGCGGUAACACCGGCAGCUCUAGUGGUAACAAUUUUUAUUGGGCCUAAAGCGUCCGUAGCCGGUUUAAUAAGUCUCUGGUGAAAUCCUGUAGCUUAACUGUGGGAAUUGCUGGAGAUACUAUUAGACUUGAGACCGGGAGAGGUUAGAGGUACUCCCAGGGUAGAGGUGAAAUUCUGUAAUCCUGGGAGGACCGCCUGUUGCGAAGGCGUCUAACUGGAACGGUUCUGACGGUGAGGGACGAAAGUUAGGGGCGCGAAACCGGAUUAGAUACCCGGGUAGUCCUAACUGUAAACGAUGCGGACUUGGUGUUGGGGUGGCUUUGAACUGCUCCAGUGCCGAAGGGCAGCUGUUAAGUCCGCUGCCUGGGAAGUACGGUCGCAAGACUGAAACUUAAAGGAAUU